GUUGACAACUUUGCGAUGCCAGGCUAUACCUUAUUUUAUACAGCUGCAGUUUUUCAUUUCUCAAAUUCGGAGUCGGAAUCACUGUUUGCACACAUUCAAGGUAUGCUAACUCUUACUAUAAAUGGUAUCGGUAAGGACGUCGGCUCAUUGUUAACUGGAUACUUCUUCAAAAAUUGUGGCAUCCGAAUUACAUUGUACGGAUAUUCAGUCGUCUCUCUUGUAUGGUGUAUAGUCCUUGUAGUUUAUACUUUAAAAAGUCAAGAGGCUCAUCAUUACGAACGAGUGGAAAUAGAAAAAGGAAUGGAACUAAAAAAUACUAAAGAGAUCGUUAAGCAAUGAUAAUGGUGUGUGUUUUGAAGUAACAAAAAAUGUAUCGUUUAAUGAUAUUUACAUAUUGAAAAAUUCAUGGUUAGUACAAUUUGUACCGUAACGAUUUCUAAUUUUGUGAUGCAUAUUAAAAAAGGCCAAUGUGUACAUGGAAAGAAAGAAUUAUGUUGUUUUCUGUUUAUCUCAUCCAGUGGCGUAGAUAAGGGGGGUGAGACAAAUGGUGGAUGCAAUCAACAAAUAAUUAUUAGGAAACUAUAUUUUUUAAGCGUUUAAUCUAAUAAAAAAAUUAUGUGGCGUUGAAAGUUUGGCUGUUAUCUUGGUGAAUACGAUAUUUAAUAUAUAAAA